CGGAGCCCCCCGCUGCUGGCGGCCACAGGGCGGCUGGACCAGGAGGUCGGUGUCCAGCCCAGGAAGGGAGCCUCAGGCUAGGGAGGGGCAGAGGCUAGGCCUGAGGCCUGGACCGCUCUGUGAGCGAGGACCCGGUUCCGCCCGAAGGAUGAAGACUUGUCUUUAAAGAUGACAACGUACAGGAAAGGUCCCAGGUUGCCCAUGUCCAGGAAAAGAUGGAUCCCCCUAUCCAAAUCUUCUCCGUGGUGUGUGUGGGUGGAGGAGUGGACCCUGGUCCAGGCAGGGGCUCCAGGGAAGAGAAGGCGUCACUUCCGGGGGCCUUCACCAGUGUCUGG
rnacentral:lncRNA from 1 species